UCCGGUUUGGCACCGGCAGUCUCUCCAGAGUCCCCGGCAUUAUCCGCUGGCAACUGGAGACGGGGGUUGCGCUCGUUGCGGGACUUAACCCAACAUCUCACGACACGAGCUGACGACAGCCAUGCAGCACCUGUGCGCGGGUCCCGAAGGAGGCCCGGUGUUUCCACCGGGUUGCCCGCGCAUGUCAAGCCCAGGUAAGGUUCUUCGCGUUGCGUCGAAUUAAACCACAUGCUCCACCGCUUGUGCGGGCCCCCGUCAAUUCCUUUGAGUUUCAGCCUUGCGGCCGUACUCCCCAGGCGGGGCACUUAAUGCGUUAGCGCCGGCACUCGAGGGGUCGCUCCCCCAAGCACCUAGUGCCCAUCGUUUACGGCGUGGACUAC
rnacentral:misc_RNA from 1 species